CCCUUUUUUUUAAUAAAUUAUUACAGAAAAGUAAGGAAUUCUGACACCAUGAUUCACAGGAGAACAUCAUGUCAUAAGAACUGGAGUUAUAAACAGAUCAGAACCUCAAUAACUCAAGUGUAAGUUAUUUAAGUUUUGCCCCUCCCUCAUUUACUUGAGAACCCUUAUUUUGCCUUCGGCGGCCUCUUAUCAAAAUCAUCAUCGAUUCUACUUCUGCAAGCUCGACACCAGUUUGACCUUCCAAUACGAACCCUCUCGCAGAAACCAGGAAAAAAAACUG
rnacentral:lncRNA from 1 species